CUUUCCCUCCUCUGGGGCUUGCUUGCAAGGCGGGGUUGGGUCAAGGUUGGGGCAGCCUCUCUCUUCCUCCCUGCUUGGUGCCUCAGUGACCAGCCAGCUCCCUGCCCCACCCAGCUGGCCCCAGGCCACCGGCCGGGCCUGGGACUCAACUUGCCAACUUACAGCCUGAGGGAGGGCUGGGCUCUUCAAAAACAGCCUCAAAUCAUCCAGGCCGCUGACAGCCACAGGGCAAGCGCCCAGAGCCCAUUCUUUCUGUCUGGCCUCCAUCUCAUCCGGCUAUCCCAGGAUCCCAGGAGUGGCUGUUGAUGGAGCCCUUCCCAUGGACUGGGCCUUUGCACACACAUUGCACCAAAUUCUCACAGCAGCCGAGCCAGCCCUGCCCCACCUGAUUGGUUAAACCAUCUGCUGCCUGGUGUCUCCUCCACUGGACGACCAGGACCGAAGGGGCUGGAGAAGGAUUAACUCCAAUGUCCAGUGCCUGUCCCUGC
rnacentral:lncRNA from 1 species